GAGAUGAAAACUUCUAGAUCAAAUUAGUAUCUGAUUAAAACCGAAAUCAUUGUUUUAGUCAUGUAAUCGGUCUUAGUAACAGCCAGAGGAGGUGUGGCCAGAGGUGCAUAACCAGAAACAUCUUGAUGUAACAACUAAAUGGCAGAGAAUUGAACAUUGAGACUAUAGAAGCGUAUCAUCUAUACACCAAAGCCACUCCACUAACCCAAAGUGUGUUUUGGUGCCUAUAGUAUACCUUUAACACCAGCCACAUGUCUUGUGCAAAGACAUUAGUGACUUAAUCCCCGUCAUUCUAUAGCGAAAAAUACAUGAGGUUUUAUGGCAUUAAAUUGAAACUGUACAGCACUUAUUAAAUAAAAUGCCAAAUGUUUUAUAUAUGCCGCCGCUGCCCCCAAAGCGAACUGCUGGUCAUCUAAAUGAAUGAGUCAACAUAGCAAUUAACCUGAAAAGUUGCAUAGAUAUGCAUGUCAGAGUACAAAAAAAGUUUAGUAUAUUGUUUACAGUAUCGCUAUCUCCCAAGGCCAAUUACAGGGUGAGCUGCUGUGGUUUUUUUAUUUUAUUUUGUGAUCAAACAUUGCAAUCCAGUAUAAAAAAAAUAAAUCAAAAAAAUCAAAUAGUGACAACAUUGGAGAC